GACGAACGCUGGCGGCGUGCUUAACACAUGCAAGUCGAACGGAAAGGCCCUGCUUUUGUGGGGUGCUCGAGUGGCGAACGGGUGAGUAACACGUGAGUAACCUGCCCUUGACUGUGGGAUAACUUCAGGAAACUGGGGCUAAUACCGGAUAGGAGCUCCUGCUGCAUGGUGGGGGUUGGAAAGUUUCGGCGGUUGGGGAUGGACUCGCGGCUUAUCAGCUUGUUGGUGGGGUAGUGGCUUACCAAGGCUUUGACGGGUAGCCGGCCUGAGAGGGUGACCGGCCACAUUGGGACUGCGAUACGGCCCAGACUCCUACGGGAGGCAGCAGUGGGGAAUAUUGCACAGUGGGCGGAAGCCUGAUGCAGCAACGCCGCGUGCGGGAUGACGGCCUUCGGGUUGUAAACCGCUUUCGCCUGUGCCGAAGCGUGAGUGACGGUAAUGGGUAAAGAAGCACCGGCUAACUACGUG
rnacentral:rRNA from 1 species